rnacentral:rRNA from 1 species
GUGAACGGCGGCCGUAACUAUAACGGUCCUAAGGUAGCGAAAUUCCUUGUCAGGUAAGUUCUGACCCGCAUGAAAGGCGUAAUGAUUUGGGCACUGUCUCAACAGCCCGCCCGGCGAAAUUGUAGUACCGGUGAAGAUGCCGGUUACCCGCGACAAGACGGAAAGACCCCAUGGAGCUUUACUGUAGCCUAAUAUUGGGUUUCGAUGUUGCAUGCACAGGAUAGAUGGGACACAGGGAAACAAGUGCUUUGGCAUUUGUGGAGUGGCCGUUGGGAUACCAUCCUUGCGAUAUUGGAAUUCUAACCUGCGCCUUUGAAUCAAGGCGGGGGACAUUGUUAGGUGGGCAGUUUGACUGGGGCGGUCGCCUCCUAAAGAGUAACGGAGGCGUUCAAAGGUUCGCUCAGCUUGAACGGAAAUCAAGCAAAAGAGUGCAAACGCAGAAGCGAGCCUAACUGCGAGACUGACGGGUCGAGCAGUAACGAAAGUUGGAGUUAGUGAUCCGGUGGUAUGUGAGUGGAAAUGCCAUCGCUCAACGGAUAAAAGUUACCCUGGGGAUAACAGGCUGAUCUCCCCCAAGAGUCCACAUCGACGGGGAGGUUUGGCACCUCGAUGUCGGCUCAUCGCAUCCUGGGGCUGUAUUCGGUCCCAAGGGUUUGGCUGUUCGCCAAUUAAAGCGGUACGCGAGCUGGGUUCAGAACGUCGUGAGACAGUUCGGUCCCUAUCUGUCGUGGGCGCAGGAUAUUUGAUGGGAGCUGUUCCUAGUACGAGAGGACCGGAGCGGACGUACCUCUGGCGCACCAGUUGUUCUGCCAAGGGCAUAGCUGGGCAACUAUGUACGGAUCGGAUAAACGCUGAAAGCAUCUAAGCGUGAAGCCGACCCAAAGAUAAGAUAUCCCAUUGUUUCAAACAAGUAAGACCCCUUGAAGACUACAAGGUUGAUAGGCACGAUGUGUAAGUGGAGUGAUCCAUUCAGCAAGCGUGUACUAAUAGGUCGAGGGCUUGACCAC